UACGUAGGGGGCAAGCGUUGUCCGGAUUUAUUGGGCGUAAAGAGCGUGUAGGCGGCCAGGUAGGUCUGCUGUGAAAACUCGAGGCUUAACCUCGAGAUGUCGGCGGAAACCAUCUGGCUAGAGUCCGGAAGAGGAGAGCGGAAUUCCUGGUGUAGCGGUGAAAUGCGUAGAUAUCGUGGAGGAACACCGGUGGCGAAGGCGACAUCCUGGACCAACACUGACGCUGAGUGAGCGAAAGCCAGGGGAGCAAACGGG
rnacentral:rRNA from 1 species